rnacentral:rRNA from 1 species
GACGAACGCUGGCGGCGUGCUUAACACAUGCAAGUCGAACGGAAAGGCCCUGCUUUUGUGGGGUGCUCGAGUGGCGAACGGGUGAGUAACACGUGAGUAACCUGCCCUUGACUUUGGGAUAACUUCAGGAAACUGGGGCUCAUACCGGAUAGGAGCUCCUGCUGCAUGGUGGGGGUUGGAAAGUUUCGGCGGUUGGGGAUGGACUCGCGGCUUAUCAGCUUGUUGGUGGGGUAGUGGCUUACCAAGGCUUUGACGGGUAGCCGGCCUGAGAGGGGGACCGGCCACAUUGGGACUGAGAUACGGCCCAGACUCGUACGGGAGGCAGCAGUCGGGAAUAUUGCACAAUGGGCGGGAGCCUGAUGCAGCAACGCCGCGUGCGGGAUGCCGGCCUUCGGGUUGUAAACCGCUUUCGCCUGUGACGAAGCGUGAGUGACGGUAAUGGGUAAAGAAGCACCGGCUAACUACGUG